GCCCCUCAUUGUGCGGCUCGUACUAAACGGAAGGGGCCGGGAGAGGCCGCGUUCAGUCGGGUCCCGGCAGCAGCUGCGGCGCCUCUUGUCUUCUUCAUCUCUUUUUGCAGUCUCUCUUUCGCUUCCGGAAACAUGGCCUCUGGUGUGGCUGUCUCUGAUGGUGUCAUCAAGGUAUUCAAUGACAUGAAGGUGUGCAAGUCCUCAACACCAGAGGAAGUGAAGAAGUGCAAGAAGGCGGUGCUUUUUUGCCUGAGUGAGGAUGAGAAGAACAUCAUCCUGGAGGAGGGCAAGGAGAUUCUGGUGGGGGAUGUGGGCCAGACUGUGGACGACCCCUAUGCUACCUUUGUCAAGAUGCUGCCAGACAAGGACUGUCGCUAUGCCCUCUAUGAUGCAACCUAUGAGACCAAGGAGAGCAAGAAGGAAGAUCUGGUGUUUAUCUUUUGGGCCCCUGAGUGUGCACCCCUUAAGAGCAAAAUGAUCUAUGCCAGUUCCAAGGAUGCCAUCAAAAAGAAGCUGACAGGGAUCAAGCACGAAUUACAGGCAAAUUACUACGAAGAGGUCAAGGACCGCUGCACACUGGCAGAGAAGCUGGGCGGCAGUGCCGUCAUCUCUCUGGAGGGCAAGCCUUUGUGAGCCCCUCCAGUCCCUGCCUGGAGCAUCUGGCAGCCCUGGACCUGCCCUCAAGGGGUUGUAGGCUGCCCCCUUUCUGCCAGACCGAAGGGGCUGGGGGGGAUCCCAGCAGGGGGAGGGCAAUCCUUUCACCCCAGUUGCCAAACAGCCCCCCUACCCCCUGGACCUUCCUCCUGCCUCCAUCCCUGACGGUUCCGGCCUGCCCAAACUGCUUUUGAUCUUCUGAUUCCUAUUGGGUUGAAGCAGACCAAGUUCCCCUCAGGCAGCCAGCUUUGGGGGGGGGGGCUGUUUUUUUUUUUUGUUUUUUUUUUAACGACAUCCACACUCCCCACCUAUUCCUUCCCGCUCCCAUGCUGCCAACUUCUAACCGAAAUAGUGACUCUGUGCUUGUCUAUUUAGUUCUGUGUAUAAAUGGAAUGUUG